AACGAACGCUGGCGGCAUGCUUAACACAUGCAAGUCGAACGAGACCUUCGGGCUUAGUGGCGCACGGGUGCGUACCGCGGGGGAACCUGCCCGUAGGUUCGGUACAAUUGCCUGAAAGGUGUGCUAAUACCGGUUAAUGUCAUACGACCAAAGAUCUAUCGCCUUUGGAUGGGCCCGCGUUGGAUUAGCUAGUUGGUAGGGUAAAAGCCGGUCAAGGCGACGAUCCAUGGCUGGUCUGAUAGGAUGCUUAGGCACACUGGGACUGCGACACGGCCCAGAGUCCUACGGGAGGCAGCAGUGGGGAAUAUUAGACAAUGGGCGAAAGCCUGAUCCAGCAAUGCCGCGUGAGUGAUGAAGGCCUUAGGGUUGUAAAGCUCUUUUACCCGGGAUGAUAAUGACAGUACCGGGAGAAUAAGCACCGGCUAACUCCGUG
rnacentral:rRNA from 1 species